UACGUAGGGUGCGAGCGUUGUCCGGAUUUAUUGGGCGUAAAGAGCUCGUAGGCGGUUUGUUGCGUCGGCCGUGAAAACCUGCAGCUUAACUGUGGGCCUGCGGCCGAUACGGGCAGACUUGAGUUCGGUAGGGGAGACUGGAAUUCCUGGUGUAGCGGUGAAAUGCGCAGAUAUCAGGAGGAACACCGGUGGCGAAGGCGGGUCUCUGGGCCGAUACUGACGCUGAGGAGCGAAAGCGUGGGGAGCGAACAGG
rnacentral:rRNA from 1 species